ensembl:lncRNA
ACACCACAGCCACAGCAACACCAGAUCUGAGCCGCGUCUGUGACCUACACCACAGCUCAUGGCCACGCCAGAUCCUUAACCCACUGAGCAAGGCCAAGGACCGAACCCGCAACCUCAUGGUUCCUAGUCGGAUUCGUUUCUGCUGCGCCACGAGGGGAACUCCCCUCGGAUUUUCCCCGGGUCUGUUCUUUCCGCCUCCAGCCGACCUGAGUGUCCUUAUGCUGGCGGUUGCUGAGAUACUCCACGUGUAAUGGCAAGAGCGACAAUGUGCUCUGAAUACAGACGCUGUCGUGCAUCUCCUGUUGCAUCACCGGCUCCGGCUGCCUUAACAGAAGACUGCAAUCAGGGUACAGACGAAGCACUGGCAGUGAUCCCUCCUGGUCCUGGGCGCUGGCCUCUGAGCCCCAGGGGCGGGCAGGGCGGGUCCCUCCUGGGCGUGUCGACAGCCGUCUCCUCCGCAUGUCCUCACAGGGCUGUCCCUCUGUGUGUGUCUGGGUCCUGACCGCCUCUCCUCCUCAGGACCCCCGUCCCUGGGGAUCAGGACCCCCCCUCAUGACCUCAUGUACCUCCACCCCCUCUUGAAAGCCCCCAUCUCCUAAUACAGCCCCAUCCUGAGGUCCUGGGGGUUACGGCUUCAACAUACGGAUUUUGAGGGACACGUGGGGACAGUCCACGAUGCCUGCGGCCUGUGAGAGCCAGGUCACCUGUGCUGAAGUCGCUCCGUACUUGGGAUCCUGCAGCCGAUGGUCCAGCGUGGUCCUCCGGUGGACCAGUGAUCCAGCCUCUGAGGAUGUCUGGGCACCACGGAAGUUGGUGAGCUUCAGUCAAGGCGAUGGUAUCUGGACCACCCUUUGUUAGCGCCUGGAACCCACGGAGCCCACGUCAUCACCCAGUCCCCCACACAAAACCUUUCAAAUUCAGGGAGGAUGGCCGGGGCUGGCAUGGAGCAUUUCCCUGACCCUCGCUCCCCUCCCCAGGUCAGGGAGACACUGGUGAAGAAAUUUUCCUUGUGGGCAGGAGGAUAAAAGAACUCUGGAUGCUUAUCAACACGCAAUGCCCGCCGCCAGGGCUACUUCCUCAGUCUUUGCCGUCAGAACCUGGAGGGGCCCCAUCCCCACCAUGAGACUGGCUCCUGGGACCUGUAACUUCUCGGGCUUGUCCACGGUCAUCACCAGCAAGGGCUCUCCUCUCACUGGGCUAAGGGGCUGCCCAGGCAGGACCUCAAGGGCAGCAAUUCACACUUGGGCAUCUCUUCCCUGAAAGACAUGGUCCAUCUUCUCCAUCCAUCACGACGUGCUUCCUCCGGGGGCUGUGCAGCUUCACUGUCCCACCUCCAGGGCACCCACUGGAUGCACAAUCUGAGCAGCUCCCUCCAAGUGUUGAGCUUCGGGGCUGCAUCAGCCAGCCUGGACCAACACGACCAAGGACCACCUGAGACCAAGGACCACAAGACCUGGGGCUUAGACCUCAGAAGCUCAGCGUCUCAGCAUGCUGGCGGCUGAAGGUCUGAGAUCGAGGUGCCAUCAUGAUGGCAUUUGGGGGGCGGGGGGCUCUCUCUUCCCGGCUUGCAGAUGGCUGCCAUCUUGUUUUGUCCCCCACAUGGGGAAGAUACAGAGAGCUAGAGACACACAGGAACCCCACCCUAGGGGCCCCCACUCUCAUGAGCUUAUCAAACCUCAUCACCUCUUCCCUGAAAAACGUGGUCCAUCUUCUCCAUCCAUCAGAACACUGCGUCCUCCGGGGGCUGUGCAGCUUGACUGUCUGAGUUUCCAUCCCACCUGCAAGGCGCCUGCUGGGUGGACAAUUCUGGGUGGCUCCCUCCACCUCUUUGAGCUUUGGGGUUACAUCAGCUAGCUCGGACCAACACAACAAAGGACCGUGAGACUGGGGGUCUUAGACCUCAGAAGUUCUGUUUCUCACGUGCUGGAGGCUGAAGAUCUGAGAUCAGGGUGCCAUCAGGGGCUCUCUUUCUGGCUUGUAGACGCUGCCGUCUAGUUGGGCUCCCACGUGGGAAGAGACAGAGCGAGAGAGACAGCAAGACCCCUGCGUUCUCUCAUGAGGACACUAAUCCCAGGCUGGGGGCCUCACUGUCAUGACCUCAUCCAUCGUCCUCACGUCCCCACAGAUCUCCUGGUGCCACACCUGG